CCCUCACCUCUGUCUCUUUCGAUCUCUCUCACCUGCCAUUGCUUUCCACCGUCGACCGAUUCCGGACAGCGCCGCGCUUGACUACCUUACCAGCGCGCCGCCACCCCUUCCACGCUCCAGCGUGCCGCUGGCCCACACCACGCGUUGCCGCAGCCGGCCCACGCCCCUCCGCCGCGCGCCGCCACCGCCGGCCGCCUGCCCGUUCCCCCGUUCCUCCGGCGGUGCGAGGCACGGUGGCGGCGAGAGGUAAACUGGUGGAUCUGGGCGCGGCCUCGAGAGAUCUCGCGGCUGGUGCGGCAGCUUGCUACGAUGGCAGCGACUUGUACCUCAACAACCGUCACGACGGAGCUGCAACCGCAGCUCGAGAGAGGAGGGCGUUGCCGGAGACAAGGGCCGCCUGCACGAGUCAGGCCCGCUAUCGGCGGCAGCGCCCGCGUCCACACCGGCAACACGAGCACCAAGGUUGGGCUGUGUCCCCAUGGUGCGCGUCGAUGUCCAUGUGCAGCACGCGCCGGAAGCGGGCGAGGAGUUGGUUGAUGGCGAGAACGAUGUCGUUGACAUAGCUGAAGCUGUUGGCGUGGCCAGGGCAUGCAUGGUGCAUGCUGCCGGACAAAUUUAGUCGCCGCCGCCGAGCGCGCACGCCAUGGCCAGCGACCCGCCGGCGUAGGUCAGGCAUUACCCUAGGAGGCUGUCGAUGACAGGGUUGUCGUUCGAGCAGGCGCCGUCCUGGCGGCGCAUGAUGCCGAUGCCAUGCUCCUUGGCAGUUCGCUGGAGAUCGUCGUCGCUGAUAUACCCGCCGGGCUGAGGUUGCAGAGGAGGUCGACGUAUUUCUGGUCGUGAAACACAAGCGGCUCCUCCGGCCUGGCCGGCCUGGUGAGGAGGCGACUCAUGUCUUUGAGGAGACCGUCGGAGGCGACGAGGUCGUGGGCCAUCGUGACGUGUCCCUCGCCGUAGUCGAUGUUGGAGAUGCAUGGGUCGUAGUAGUAUGUGGCUACCCUUAUCUCCUUGUGUGUCUUCGUAAGUUCGUAGUUAAGCCUUGAA